rnacentral:miRNA from 1 species
CCAACAGGUCUGCAUUCGGC